CUGGCUUCCUGCUCCGAGCCACGCUCGCCUGGGCCUCAACGCCAUGGCCGCGGAUGUCAUGCAGGUGGUGUUUCGGUAGUAGAGACUGGAGGGCGGCGCGAUAGUGGGGGCCACAUAACCUCCCCUCCUCACCCUUUUCUUUUGUUGGUGGUGCUGCCACCGAAUACCACCAUUGCCGUUGAAGGGAAGAGCACCACCGUCGGUGGCACUCAUGGGUUGCCGCACGCUGCUUCUAAAGGUGGGAGCAAUGGGUUUGCUUGGUUCCCGUGAUUGUAAUGGUGACCGCUCUGGUGACAAAUGUCCACAGGGAGCACCGCAAUUACUCGCCGGAACGGUCCGUUCACCGUUGGCCGCAGGAUGCCAUGGCCGGGGGGUACACGCGGUUCAUUGCAGGUAAUACAUACCUAUGUCGUGUUCCCUGUUGCUUCAUCUCUCUGAUACACCCAGUUACAAAGGAAGCUGAGCACCUGGGGUUUUGAUCGUCGCGCUCUGGCGAACUUCACCGCGGGCGCUUAUGCGCCGCCUCCUAGGCGUGUCGGGGGUAGAAGAAAGGUGCGGGGUCGUGGAUCCAUUAACGGGCGGCCCAGAUUGGUUCUGGCAUACCGCUUGGGGUAUUUGGAUAUGUGUCAUCGAUCGGCAGAUGAAGGGUGUAGAGCAGAACGACAACUUAAAAAUCUGAAUCGUUGGAUGAAGAUCCAACGAGUACGAUUGCGUACCGGUUCGUAGUUAUAAAAAUCUAAUCUGGACCGUUCCCUUUAAAUCCAACGACUCUGGUUGCCCACGCAUUAUAACAGUCAUGGUCUUUUUUUCUAAAAGAACCCUCACCCUUUUGACUUGUGAACUCGCCAUCCCUUUCCAUGUUAAGUAAUUCGGUAUAGGCCCCUAGUUUUUAUAGAGUGCACCCUAUGCUCUCUGGAAAUUAUAUCCGCGGUCCAGAGCCAUUGGGAAAACUCAGGAUUAAUUCAGAAAUUGAUUUCUAGUAGAAAAAUAAUUCUAGAAACUGAUUUAAUUCAUAUUUAAUUGAUUUUAACUCCAAAUUGAGUAAUUCCAGUUGCAAUAAUUUUGUUCUAAUAUUGUUUAUCAUCUAGUAUCUUUGUUUAGCCAUGAAACUUGAAUUAAAAUUAUUCACUUGAUUUAUUCUAAACUAAGCACUUAAUAAACUUCGAAAAUUCAUAACUCCUCUGUUUUAAUUCCGAAUUGACCCGUUCAAGUUGCGUUAGCUUCAUAUGAAUAUUUACUAUGCAGUAACAACAUUUAUUGUACCAUGCCUCAUUCUUUUAUAAUUAGAUCUUUAUUUAACUUAUGUUGGUUAGUCUUGUCAAUCUGCCUAUCAUUAUAAUCUACUAAAAUAUGUUAUAUGGUCAAUUUAUAAUUAAAGUUGAAUUAAUUACUACUCUAGGUUAUCUUUUCUCUUGAUUUAUAAGAUAAGCAUAAAACUUAGUUUUAAUCAGUUAAUCACACCAUAACUUGAUGACCGUAACUCCGAUUUUAGUGAUUCUCGAACCCACGAUUUUAGAUUAUUAUUGCUACGACUAGCAGUGAGGUCACGAGUCAUCUGAAGAUCAUCCUGGUACCUAGAAUCUCAAGUCCCAGGCAAGUUGUGCCCUUGAUCACUUCUUUUUACCCAGUCAUGUUCUGAUUAAUCAUAAUGAUCUGCAUAGGUUAAUUUUGAUGGGGCCCAAUAGGUUACCCUAGUGUGACUAUCUUUAUACCUUGUUUACCACUGAAUUUUUGGGUAGUACCUGCUAUUGCUUUAUGUGGUUUUGGGUAUAGAGAUACACAUUAUUCAUGAUUGUGCCUUUAUUAUCAGUUGUUAUUUACUGUUCAUGUUAAGAUCGUUAUGUUAAUUGGAACAUGGAGCGACCACCCGGGAAAACAGUGCUACCACAAGGGUGGUAUGGGACGCCCUUGGCUGGUUAAUUAGGAAAGCUAGUGGAUGACUACCUUACCAGAAAGAGGCAAGGGCAGUAUGGGAGUGGUCAAUGUAGGGAGAUCCUUGGGUUGAUUUUAUUGCGAUGGUGGUCAGGCGAGGGAUCCCUGCAUUGGAGCUUCCUAUAAACUGUAGCUGGUUUUCUGAAGCUAAUGGAACUUUGUAAAGGCCUCGUAGUGGUACCAUGCCUCGCUUCCUUGGUAGAGGUGUAUGGGGUCCGAUCAACCCCGUGGCAAAUGGGUAACACGACUUGUGGGUAAAGAUGUGCAACCUCUGUAGAGUGUAAAACUGGUAUACUAGACAUGCUCACGGUCAUGAGCGGCUCAGACCCUCACAUGAUUAAUUUAUGGAACUAAAUUCAAUUUGUCAUAUGCAUUGCAUUGCGGGUGUUGUUAUCACUUUUGUUCUACUACUUAAUUGGGUUCGUAUUUACUUAUACUUAGUAAUUGCUAAUAAAAUUUUGACUAACUUUAAAAGCAAUGCUCAGCUCUAACCAUCCUCUUUGGUAAACCUUACACUUCACACCUUUGGCGAGUUCAUGCGCAUUAUUCCCCACAACUUGUUGAGCGAUGAACGUAUGUGAGCUCACUCUUGCUGUCUCACCCCCACAGGUCAAGAACAGGUACCGCAGGAUGAGGCGCAUGAAGGAUGCUGUGAUGAGUUCGUGAGAGGUCUAGGUCGUCGUCUCCCAGUCAACUUUGGGUUGCUGGAUCGUUGUCUCCUUAUGAUGUAAUUAUUUAUUUAUUUUGUACAUAACUCCUAUU
rnacentral:lncRNA from 1 species